AGUGAACGCUGGCGGCAGGCCUAACACAUGCAAGUCGAACGGCAGCACAGUAAGAGCUUGCUCUUACGGGUGGCGAGUGGCGGACGGGUGAGGAAUACACCGGAAACUACUUUUUCGUGGGGGCUAACGUAGGGAAACUUACGCUAAUACCGCAUACGUCCUACGGGUGUAAGCCGGGGAUCUUCGGACCUUGCGCGAUUGAAUGAGCCUAGCUCGGCUUAGCUAGUUGGCGGGGUAAAGGCCCACCAAGGCGACGAUCCGUAGCUGGUCUGAGAGGAAGAUCAGCCACACUGGAACUGAGACACGGUCCAGACUCCUACGGGAGGCAGCAGUGGGGAAUAUUGGACAAUGGGCGAAAGCCUGAUCCAGCCAUACCGCGGGAGUGAAGAAGGCCUUCGGGUUGUAAAGCCCUUUUGUUGGGAAAGAAAAGAAGCAGGUUAAUACCCCACUGUACUGACGGUACCCAAAGAAUAAGCACCGGCUAACUUCGUG
rnacentral:rRNA from 1 species